AGAGCGAACGCUGGCGGCAGGCUUAACACAUGCAAGUCGAGCGGGCGUAGCAAUACGUCAGCGGCAGACGGGUGAGUAACGCGUGGGAACAUACCUUUUGGUUCGGAACAACACAGGGAAACUUGUGCUAAUACCGGAUAAGCCCUUACGGGGAAAGAUUUAUCGCCGAAAGAUUGGCCCGCGUCUGAUUAGCUAGUUGGUGAGGUAACGGCUCACCAAGGCGACGAUCAGUAGCUGGUCUGAGAGGAUGAUCAGCCACAUUGGGACUGAGACACGGCCCAAACUCCUACGGGAGGCAGCAGUGGGAAUAUUGGACAAUGGGCGCAAGCCUGAUCCAGCCAUGCCGCGUGUAGGAUGAAGUCCUUCGGGAUGUAAACUACUGUCAGGGGAAAGAAAGUUCUGAUCUACCCAGAGGAAGGGACGGCUAACUCUGUGCCAGCAGCCGC
rnacentral:rRNA from 1 species